CCAGCAGCUGCGGUAAUUCCAGCUCCAAGAGCGUAUAUUAAUUUUGUUGCAGUUAAAAAGCUCGUAGUCAAAUUUCUUUUGUGUUGAUAGGGUUUUGGUGCUGGAUCAUAACUUUACGUUUAGAACCCACCUUCCUUCAAUGCAAAAAUUACUUGUAACUUUUUGUGUUUGGAUAAUUCAUUGCUCUACUUAACUGUAGGGUUGUGGAAAGUUUUGCACAUUUUUAAAAAAGUUACAUCAUUUACUGUGAAUAAAUCAAAGCGUUCAAAGCAGGCAUUAUGCUCUCUGAAUGUUUCAGCAUGGAAUAAUAAGAUAAGUCUUCUCUUUAUUUUGUUGGUUUGCGAAGAAAAGAAAUGAUUAACAGGAACAGUUGGGGGUAUUUGUAUUAGGAUGUCAGAGG
rnacentral:rRNA from 1 species